GGAAUGGACUAGUUUCGUCAUAAUCAUCGAAAUAAAGGAGAAUUUUAAAAAAUACAAUGGGUUGUUCGAUAAGUACCUUAAAACGAAGGUGUUCGAUAGAUGUAAGUUACUCUAGUAGUAUUAUUAAUAUUAUUAUUAAUUGUAAUUAAAUAAAAUUUUUAAUCUAGAUCUAGAUCUAUAAUUAAUAUUUUUAGUCUACUAUAUUAUA